UGUGUGUGUGUUUGUGUUUAUUCCCCCACCCUCUUGUCAACUGGUAUUGGUUUAUUCACAGCCCAAUAAAUUAACAUUUUGACAAAAACAAAAAAUAAAAAAGAGGUUGAUAGAAUUAAGUAGCAUACUUUUAAAAAGCUAAGUUCUGGGGUUGAUUCAUUUAACCCUUCAAGGUUGUGCCCCAGCAAGGCAAGUGUGUAAUGACAGAAACAAGAAAAAUAUGAAGAAUGGAAGAUUCAUUUUCUCUUCAUCACAGAAUGAUAAAAAGAAUUGGCUUUUUCCAUUCACCAGCAGCUAAUCAGCAUCUUAUACUUUGCCCAGUCUUUUUCCCAAGAAUUGCUUGACCCUUGAUCUUUCUUCUAUAUUUAAAGCCAUAGCAAUUCGAACUGAGUAUAAACCACAUUGAUGUCACUAAAUAAUCCUGCUCCACUGUAAUUCUAACUUAAUCCAUGUGGAGUCACUAAUGAAAAUUUCAUCUUCCAUGUUAUCUAGUGUAGCCUUCUUUUCUAAGAUGAUAGGGUGUGAUUUGAGUGGGAAUCAGUUACUAUAUGCAGGAAAGUGAUUGACUACAUAGAAUCCACCCAGGCUGAUUUGACCACAAUAUGGUAUAAUUCUCUGUUGUAAGCAGUGGUAAUGCUAUAUAUUUGGAUAUGCAGAAUAAGCCAUUCUGUCAAGCACCAUGUCACUGUAAACUAUAUAUGCAUGCAAUACAAUUCAAAUUCACUACAGUAGGUUAACAAAACACUCACAAAUUGAUACAAUGAUUUCUCUAUAUAUUUCUCCUUCAUAAUUAUUUGUAUGGUGGAUAGAGCCAUGAAGUCAGUGUUGCUUGUUAUAGAAUACAGCUUACUGACCCUCUUUCAAUGACAGCAGCUUUGACUCUACAUAAAUAUGUUGUGAAAUGUAAAAUAUCUUGGAGCUUUAACAAUAUCACCCAUGAAUGCUUUGUUUGUGAGUGUGUAAUAUGAUUUGAGAGCAAUUGACUGUGAUAAAGCCCUUUCUUCUACAAAGUAUUGUCUACAAGUUAACAACUCCCUAGUAAAUGGAGUAGAUUAUAACAUAGGUCUGUCAUGAGCAAAAAGACUGGAGUUUAACCAGGUUUCCACGGCAUGUAAUUGACUGAGAUUAAAACAUCCCCCACCCAAGAAAUAGGGCACCUGUUCUUCACAGGAUCAAUUUCCCAGCUACUCAUUUAUAACUAAGAGAAAAGGAACACCUGAUCUGGGAAUUGAAACCAUGAUCUCACAAUCAUGAGUGCAACACACUAACCACUGGACCAUAUACCUCCAUGGUAUAUGGAACAGGUGUAUUAAAAUGGUUCAACUAGGAAUCAAACCCUACAUUGUAGAUUCAGUUUGAUGGAAACUUGCUACUGCUAUACAGUGAAUACCGCCCACCAACACCACCAUCAUCACAACACACACACACACACACAUACACACACACACAGUAUACUGUCACUUAAGCCAAUGGUGCACAAUAUGAAUCAUACAGCUCAAGAGUGGGUCAUGAAAAAUCUUCAGUGGGCCACAGUGACACUUAUAUAAUUAGAGAAAAGUUACAUGCAUGAUGUCAAUAUUUUCUACAUUCACACUGAUUAAUUUGCUUAUGUUUUUUUUUUUUUUUUACUUAAUUUGAUAUUUUUACCUUUCAGAUAUGGCUUAUGUGAUUUGGAUUCAAUCUGUGUUAUAGCUGUUAUUCAUUUAUGUUUUGUUUUAUUUAAAUAAUAUUGUCAUGGACCACAGUCAUUAUAAAAUAUUAAUAUAUGCACUUGAAACAGCAUUAAAUUGAAAUCCCGGUAUGUAUAACAUUUAUAAUGUAUAUACAAAGGCAUAAUGGAAUUAGAUGUAAUAUUCUAUCUCAGAGAAACUUUUCAGAAAUUUCUUGGAGAUGUUGCUCUCUGAAAACUAUUACAGCUGAUGCUGUUUCACAUUUGUAUGUACAUUAUAAACGUUAUACACAUUGAUAUAUUGCAAAAAAGAAAAAAAAAAAGGAAAAAAUAGAAAAAAGAAUUGUGGGCCAUUCCAUAGCAUAUAAAAAAAAAUAUAGUUGUGCAUCACUGAAGUCUUAAACAUGUGACAUUUAAUUCAUUAAGUGAUGUUCAAGUUUUUAUUUAUUACAAUGUUCAGCAUGCCUUGUUUCA